rnacentral:rRNA from 1 species
UCCGAAGGGGGCUAUCGUUGUUCGGAAUUACUGGGCGUAAAGCGCGUGUAGGCGGGCCGUUAAGUCGGGGGUGAAAGCCCAGAGCUCAACUCUGGAAUUGCCUUCGAUACUGGCGGCCUGGAGAAUGAUAGAGGUGAGUGGAAUUGCGAGUGUAGAGGUGAAAUUCGUAGAUAUUCGGAGGAACACCAGUGGCGAAGGCGACUCGCUGGAUCAUUGCUGACGCUGAGACGCGAAAGCGUGGGGAGCAAACAGG